UCGUCUCGAUAAAGAACACUUUCACGCGUCACGCUUGAUUUCACAUUGGCGCUACGUACAAAUACACGGAGUAAGUUAAACGGACUUUCGAGACGAAAAGAAAGGUGAAGGAACUUCUGGCUCGUACUGUACACCUGCUUAAUCUCGUUCCCCUGGCAUACAGAAGAGAAGGGGGUAAAGUGACAGUGUGCGAGGGAGGCAACGAAUGAGAUCCGUAGAAAAUUCUUUAUACCGACGCCGAUGGCCUCUGUGUGCUACGGUUCGCAGCGGGAAAAGAUCCCGGUGUCUGAUACAGAAGGACCGUGCAUAUCGUUUGCACGAAUAUCUCCGCCCCACUAAUGAAAAUGUCGAUGAACUUUUUCAAACAUUCAGGGUACCUCCGAUUCGAAACUCUUUCUUCAGGGAUUCUCGAUACCAACGACGGAAGCGGAAGCGCACCAUUCUCGCCUCGCUGCCUCUGAUAAGCCGAGCAUUCUGCUACCUACACGUACAUAAAUAUACUUUCCGUUCCAAAAUCACGAAAUUCAACGUGUUGCGUCGAAACACAACGUUAUCUUAAUAUCCUUUGGUUCUCAAU